rnacentral:lncRNA from 1 species
GUACCUAACAUCUAAAUUCUUUUCACAUCCCCUUUCCCUCCAGUACAUCCUCCUCUUUAUCGCUUGGUCCUCUUCCCAUUUGGAAGAGAUCUACCUGUUUCCUCUUACCUUUUAUUUUCCUCUCACCUUUUAUUUUCCUUUCAUUUGUACUAUGGGUUUCUCAUAAGAGAAACCAUAUGGUACUCAAGCUUGUGUGUCUUCAUUUAUUUUAUUGAACAUUAUGGUCUCAUGGUGCAUCCACUUUUCUACAGAUGACUUCUAUUUAUCCUUUCCAGCAGAAUAAUGCUCCAUUGUGUAUCAGCACAUUUCCAUUAUUGAUCUAUUGGUGGACUUCAAGGAUGUUUCCAUGAUUUAUCUAUUUUUGGUGCUGCUAUAACCGAGAUGAUCACCAGCUUUCUCAAUUUCCGGAUGCG